GGACCCUUAGCUCAAUUGGUAGAGCUUUGUACUUAUGUGGUUACUUAAGAUAAUGCAAGGGUCCCGAGUUCAAUCCUCGGAGGGUCCA